rnacentral:rRNA from 1 species
GACGAAGGUGGCGAGCGUUACUCGGAAUUACUAGGCGUAAAGCGUGGGCAGGCGGUUCGUAAAGUCUGUUGUGAAAGCUCCCGGCUCAACUGGGAGAGGCCAAUGGAUACUCACGGACUUGAAUCGGGGAGGGGUCACUGGAAUUCCUGGUGUAGCGGUGAAAUGCGCAGAUAUCAGGAGGAACACCGGUGGCGAAGGCGGCUCUCUGGGCAACAACUGACGCUGAGGAGCGAAAGCGUGGGGAGCGAACAGG